rnacentral:pre_miRNA from 1 species
GUGUGGUGUCAAAACAGGAAGUGUGUGUAAGGGAAGACAAAACUCCAUAAUUUCAACUAAAGAGUAUAAAACCCACAGAUUUGUCUUCCCUUACACACACUUCCUGUUUUGACACCACAUUU